GGGAGGAGCCAGAAGAUACCUGAGAUCUUGACCUAAAUGAAACAGCCCUACUGGACAUCGACGCUGCAAGCAAAGAAAUGAAUUUUCCAGUGGCACAGUUUCAACUGACACUCCCCCAACCAACAGACACACAUCCUGUAGUACAGUGUAUAUUUAACAAUAACUGCAAAAAGCUCGAGAAGUUACUGAGGCACAAUGACAUUAAUGGACUUUACCCUUCUAGAGAGUGGAAGCAAUGCAUAACUCCGUUGAUUGCUGCUGUUGUAAAUCACAAUGCAGAUAUAUGUACUUAUCUCUUGAAACAAGGUGCAGACCCAAAUAUAUCUUCUCAGUAUGGCUGGACACCUUUGCAUUAUGUCUCACUUUCUAAAGCUCCACUUUUUUUUGUGGAGAAACUUCUAGAAGCAAAAGCUGAUCCAAAUGGAUGUGGUGUUUUCACACCACUGCUUACUGCUGCCAACAAUGACAGAGAAGAUGUUGUAAACGUGCUCCUCUCUGCUGGUGCAUCGGUAACACUCUUACCUGUAACUCAUCCUGAGCAUUCUGUUCACAACAAAAGAUUAUCUGAGAUGAUUCAUAAAAUUGCAUCCAAAGGAAAUGAACUCUGCUCCAAAAUCAGAUAUUUUUUGGAUGCUACAAUUGCUAUUCCUGAAAAAACACCUGAAGAAGUGUUCAGAAAUUUUAACAGUCACAUGCUGUUGGAAGAUCCUCAGAGCCAUCUAACCAUGAUUGAACUUCUCUUUACUGUUACAGGGCGAGAUGCAGAAAAAUACUGCCAGGCUUGCAUCAAAUGGCUAAAGGAAACUGGAAAUGUGAAUACUUACAUUGCAGGUACAGCCAGUCGCUUUUCAAACAUCCCUAAGACACAUGUAAAGCUGACAGUUGAAAGUUUAAAUGCAGUUUUCUGUACAAUGGAUGACAUAACAAAUGAGCAUGCAGUAGCUAUAGUUCCACAACUACUGAAACAGCUUGACUCACAAGACAGUGGUGUUUAUGAAUCAGUGCUACAAACACUGUAUGUGAUAACACAGAAAACAAAAGGCACAAAGGACUGGGACUUAGACUUCUUCAAGGAGUUAUGCAGAACAGUUGCCCCUUUUGUAAAUGAGAAGCUUCCAACUAACAUCAGGGUCUAUACAUACGGUAUAUUGGCAAACCUGCGGUUAAUCGAACAGGCAGCUAACAUUUUUACAUCAGUGGGUGUAACUUCAGUGCCUGAGGACAUACUGACAUCAGCUGAUAUGAAAAUGAAUGAAAAGCUGAAAGAAGUGCUGAGAAGUCUGAAAGAAUAUCUGAGCAAACCAAACUCAGAAUUUGAGGGAAAUGCAGCAUCGUCUGUGGCCAAGAAGAAAAAGAAAAAGAAGAAGAAAAAGAAGGAAAAGACAGAAAAGCAAGAAGAUCCAAAUGAUGAAGUUUCCACUGCAGCAACUGAUCCAAUAACUAAAGUUCCUGUUUUAGAAUCAAGUUCAAAUGUAAAGCCUUUUGAAUACAGCACCAUUGAAAAAUCAGAAAAACGAAACUGGCUUCCAGUCAGCAAGAGGUGGAAGGAGAAACUGGAGAUGCUUGUUGGCUCAGAUGACAGUAAAAUAUCCAGAAUCAGAAGCAUUAUUUAUGUGAAUGAUGCAGAAUUCAGAAUAGCGAAAGGAAGCGAUGGUACUGAAGUCUUCUUGGGGCUGAGAGAGGACGGCACAGAAGUUGCCAUCAAGAGAAUGUCUAAAAGCAACUAUGACGAGCUGAAGAACGAAGAAGUAAUUCUACGACAUCCAGAACUCGAUCAUCCUUAUAUCGUACGAUAUGUUGAUGCUGCAGAGGACGAGAACUUUGGAUAUCUUUGUCUGCAACUUUGUGAAUACACCUUGGAAGAAUAUAUCAAGAAUGAUGACCAUGACCCACUGAUGUUAAAGAAACUUGUCAAACAAGUUCUUGAAAGUCUAAAGGUGCUUCACUGUCAGAAUCCUAAAAUUCUUCACCGAGAUCUCAAACCUCAGAACGUUUUGAUUGAUGUUACUGGGAGGGCAAGAUUAGCUGAUUUUGGCAUAAGCAGACGCUUACUCAAAGGCCAAACAACUUUACGUACACGCAGUGCAGGAACCAGAUGCUGGAUGGCCCGAGAGACUUUAGCAGAAGAAGAAUCUGUCAUAUCAUACAAGUCAAGCACUGACAUCCAGGUGGCAGGUAUGCUGAUCUAUUAUAUCCUCUCUGGAGGCCACCAUCCAUUUGGCAAAUCCUUUGAAUGUGAGUUCAACAUUCACAAAGGGAACUACAGUUUGGAUCAUGUUCAAGAUGUGGUGGCAAAGGAUCUCAUCGAGUGGAUGAUCAACAAAGAGCCAAAGUACAGACCCAAAGUAGAAGAAUGCUUAAACCAUCCCUUCUUCUGGACUUCUGAAAACAUAAUUUGAAAUUUCCAGGAAAACUGAAUACCUGAGAAAGAUCGGUAACAGGGACGAGGUUGCAAACCACCGUAAGGCUGACCAGGAGCUGAUUGUUUCUCUAGAAAAAUGUGCUGUGGACGAAUCCUUUAAACAGUGGAAAAAUAAGUUUCCACAAGAGCUGGUUCAGAAGUUGGAAGGUAAAAAGCCCUACACUGAAAACACGCUGGGAUUACUGCGCUUUAUACGCAAUCUCCAUGAGCGUUAUGCCAAGGAAGCAGCCCAAAUUGAUGUUCUGGCAUUGUUUCCUGAUCUCUUUGGGAGUAUUCACACAUUUGGAAAGAACCAAGGCUGGAAUUCAGAGACACCGUUGAGGGAAAUGUUUCAAAGACAAGACAGAGAGGAUAUUAGCACAGUUUUGAUGAUGCCAUCUAAAAGCACGGAGGAGUCCCUGGGUGUCCCCGUUCAAGAGUCUCAACCCAGUGAAGUGAAAGUUGUCAGCAGCCAUAAAAAAUAAAAUAAUAACUGCUAGCAGUAGCAGAGAUGUCAUGUAGGUGUGCCUCCUGCUGCUCUGUUAUUUCUUAAAGGAUCACCACAGAAGACACUGAUCUGCUGUGGUGAUCCACAUGUUAGCACAUAGUUGUCCUUCCUUACACAACACUCCAUUUUACCAGCACUAACAUUGCAGUAUCUUCAAGCUAGGUCUGCUCCUUAAUGGAGCCACUACCAAGACCCUUAGACUGAACCAGCUAAAUGGAUUUUAGAUACAAAUUAUACUUGUGUGAAAUAAGUGCCUGAUGUUUUGAAAAAGUAACUAUUGAUUUUUAAAAAUAUGAGAGAAAUAGAUUAGAAUUACAAUUGUUUGAGUCUCUUUACUCAAUUAUUUUAUUUUUCUUAUUUUUGCGAGGGUGUGUACUGUAUUUAUACACAAUUACACUGCUUUUGUUUUUCUGUUUUUUUGUGGUUGUAGUUGCUUAUUGCUACAUUUAUUUGUACUCAAUUUUUUUCUACAGUAGUACAACAUUAUAUUUUUAUUCAGUUAAUCUUCAGGUUUAAUUCUACAUUAUAUGGGAGGUAUGAGGAACAGAAAUAGAGACAUUUUGUUGACAUCUUCAACAAAUACAAAAGUUAAAAAAAAUAUCUGUUUUUUUUUUUCACAAUUAUAGUUUUAAAGACUUCCAUUUCUGAUCAUGGCCUUUCACAGACUGUAAACAGAAUAAAUACGUUGGACAUGCAUUUUGCUUUGUGGAAAUCACCUCGGGCCUAUGACAGAUUCAAACUGUACAAACAUGUACGUCACAUAGAAAUUGAGCAAAUCUUUGUACUUAAUAUUAAGAACCACAAGUGGAUUUAGCAAAUAUUACGAUUUUGAGAUUUAAACCAUGCAGGGUUUAUUUUCUAGUGAAUGGUAUUGUAAAUUUGCAAAAAAAUAUACAUUACACAUAUUUAAGAAACAUGAUUUCUUAUUUUGUUUCUCAUCAUGUUUUCUAAAGCAAAAUACAAAGUAAACUGUAGAUUGAUUCUUUCUGUGUAAAUAAAUCUGUAAAACU